UACCGGCAGCUCAAGUGAUGACCGAUUUUAUUGGGCCUAAAGCGUCCGUAGCUGGCCGUGUAGGUUCGUCGGGAAAUCCAUCCGCUCAACGGAUGGGCGUCCGGCGAAAACCACAUGGCUUGGGAUCGGAAGGCUCGAGGGGUACGUCCGGGGUAGGAGUGAAAUCCCGUAAUCCUGGACGGACCGCCGAUGGCGAAAGCACCUCGAGAAGACGACUCCGACAGUGAGGGACGAAAGCUGGGGUCUCGAACCGGAUUAGAUACCCGGGUAGUCCCAGCCGUAAACAAUGCCAAUUAGGUGUGGCACCGACUACGAGUCGGUGCUGUGCCGUAGGGAAGCCGAUAAAUUGGCCGCCUGGGAAGUACGUCCGCAAGGAUGAAACUUAAAGGAAUUGGCGGGGGAGCACUACAACCGGAGGAGCCUGCAGUUU
rnacentral:rRNA from 1 species